CAACUGGGCCCCCAAGGCUGAUACAACCAGCUCUGUCCGUCAGGGAGCUGAGCAUGUUCUUCCCUGGCGACUAUACAUUUAUAUUGGUCCUGAGUAGCUAAUGAGAGUGGAAUUUUAGGGAAAUAUUUUCAUUUAAAAAUGAACCAAGAAAAGCUUGGGAACCAGUGAAACUUGACUCUGUGUACAUACUUCUGUGAAUCUGUGUACAUACUUCUCUACUGAAAAACUGGUUCAGAUGACCCUCUUUGUGUGCAACCCUUUCUAUUCAGUGCUAUCUGCAUUCAGUCUUUACUAUUAACACUUAGUAAUGUGCCGCUAAAUGGUUGUGAAUAGACCAAAAGGGCUCUGGCUAGUAACUAUGCAACUACAAUUUUUAGAAGGAGGCCAUGGCAGUUUUGCAAUAGCUCUGGCAUUUACCUAAUAAACCCCAGCUCACUGACCACUUUAGUAAAUGAUAUGCAACUUCUCUUGUAAACCAUACACGUGGUUACAUUAAAUAUUGCCCUGUAUUUAAUAACAUGCUGUUUUCCUGCCCUACUCCCUUGUACGCCUAGCAGGAGUUACGGAAUUAAUUCAGCCUGGGUGGAACCGCAGGCUGGACUUGUUCGAGCAAGGUAAUCCCUCCUCUGUGAAAAGGAGUUAUCCUUUUCAUUUACAGUGCGCGUGGAAAGUCCUCUGUAAUUUCCAUGCGCUCGGCACGGCAGCUGUAGCAACCCUUGCGCACGCUGCGUCCGUGCUCGCCGUGUCGGCUUUGUCCCCGGCUGUAAUUGCGGGAGACGCGCGGGCGGCCCUUCGGAGGGACGCGGCUCCCCGACCGCCCCGCCGGGCCUUUCUGCGAAAUGGGCGGUAACGCGGCGAGGACGCGCCGGGAGUCCUGCUGGGAGCACGCGCUCAAAGGCCUGCCUGGAAGAGGAGAGACGGAUGACAAGGCUGCAGAAACUGGCGAGAAAAAACCGUCAAAAAGGUUGUGGUGGUGCAAGCUCCAGCGUUCAUCAGUGAACCCGCAAUCCCCUUGAAAAACAUUGCAGGAAAAUGCUGUUUCCAGUCUAGAGUGAAUGAACAUUGCAGCCAAAGAAAAGACCUUCUAUGUAAGAGAAGAAUUUCCCUUUCUUCCUACUUGUGAAUCAAUCAUUAAUUUCUGAUAGUUUGCUUUUCUACUGUAUGACUGCAUGAUUGGUCAAGUGCUGAUGCAAUGAAGGUUAAUUGCAGCAAACUUACUGAGUAAGUGACCACCUAGAGUAACAUUUAUAUAGAACAGGUUGUCAUUCUUUUGGUAAAGCAGAAUCUUUACCUAUCUUUACCUUGACACUUCUGUAAUUCCAUUACCACCGAUCACCACUUUCAAUGCGACAGCACUAUUCUCUUCCUGAGCCGGUGUCCAGUUACGCAUCCCCGCUCAGUUCCUCAAGAAGCACACGCUGUUUGUGAAACAUCAUUUUAGGAGUUGCACCAAACAGAAGAGAUUACACAAGUUGCCAUUUCCAAAGUGAAUUAUGGAAACCCAGAAAAGGGCUUACUUUCUGCUGGCAAAAAGAAGGCCUGACUAUUACACAUCCCGCUCCUGAGCAGCAGUAGACUAAGAGGUCCCAUCCUCCACGACUGGAGCAGUCACAAGCGUUGCCGGUGACCAGGGCCAUGCAGGAGCCGCGUGGGACAGGGACCUGCCUGCUUCCGGCUGAGGGAAUCCUCUGUACGACCCCGUACAGUCGAGCAGCAAAGGCUCGAGCCCAGGAGAUCAUUCCUGGCAAGGAGCACACGCUUUCCUUGUGCGAGGAGCCCAAGUCCUGCACUGCGGCUUUCACAGUUCCCUUUUACCUUGGCGUUGGCUGUGUCUCCAGUGAGAAAGUAGUACUCAGAAAAUAAAUAAAUUUGAGAGCACCUGGGGAAAAAAAUACCAUUUUACUAGUUCCAAAAAAAGUGAGUUUAGGAGGUGAGAACAUAGUACUAGCUAGAUAUCUUGACUUUGAAAGGACCAAAUAGUAGUGAAAUUAAGCAACAGAGGCUUUUGGUAAGAACUGUAUGAAAAGGUAAAUCCUUGUACCUUAGCAAACACAGGGGUGUUAGCAACCACACAAGGCCACCUGCCUUACGCUUAUUAUGUUUGUUUACUCUCUUCAAAAUAUUUCUCACCUGUACCAUGGUUUGUGUUUUUCCUAAGAAAGCAAACAAAAAGCUUAUCAUUUCCCCUCUGUCAUAGAGCCUGAUUUUCCAGUUGUGAGACAGGUUUCCCGUGGAAGUAACUCCACUACUUAAUUGAAGCAUUUAUAGCAGGCAGAGCUGAUGUAACAAGUGGAGAAUCAAGCCCAUAGGCCAAAAUUUUCCAAUGUAAUUAUCUAAAAUGAGGUUCUUAAUUCCAUAAUUAGUUACCUGAAUAGAGGUGUCCUGGUUUUUAGAAAUGCUGUGGAUUGACAUAUCCUGCCGAAGUCAGUGGGAGCUGGAGAUGAUUUUUCCUUGGAAAAUCAGACCAUUUUUAUUUAAAUGCCCAAAUACUGUUAUGGGCUAACAUUGGACAUCCUGGGUUGAAGGUUUUUAUCUCCUAUCGCAUUGUAUGACUGUACUGGAAUAUACCCAGUACACAGAGCUUUCAUAGCAUAGAGUGUUGUGGUAUAUGAAUAUAGCCCAUCUUGCCAGACUUGCUGAUAUGCUGAUCUGUGUUUGGGGAUUCAAAAUAAAAAGAUGCGACAAAUUUAUUUCUCUCCCUUUGAUCCUGAGACAAGCCCCGAAUGUAGUCGAGAGGCACCUGAGGGCUGUUCUGCAUUAGGCUGGUGAGAUCCAGGAGCCAUCCAGCGGGAACCGUGGCCCAGCUGGAGACGAGCCCGGACCAGGAGAGCCUUGGUGGCUCCAGCCAUCGGCUCCCCCCAGCGCUGGGUACGCUGCCUUAGUGCCAUCCAGGUAUCUCUGCAGGACCUCAUGAACCAUAUGACUUAAAAAUUAUAAGGAUGGGAAAUGUAAUUUGGGCAUUUCUGACAUAUUUUUGCUCCUGUUAGGUAGAUGCUACCGAGAAAUACUUAAAUCCAGCUGUUAAAGGAAGAUGAAUAGGGCCAAAAUGUACACUCAGAAGUACCGGAGGCCGAAGCCUGCGGCCACAACACAAAGGCAGGCAGACAUACGGUGGGGGUAAGGACAAUCUUUUAAGCUAUCCUUGUUAUUGUGCUUGUAGAUAUCUUGAAAGGAUUGUGACAAACAAUGGCCUCCCAUUCAACUAGACCCACUUAUCUGUGUAUAUUGAUGAAUUAAAAACAAAACCCCAAAUGGUCAUAAUGGCUAAAACUGAACACUCAGACCAUACUGAUAUUUUAAUUUUAUUCAUUUAUAAUUUCCUUAGUUUGAGUAACAUCUGGCACUCAGAUUCUUAUGGAUUAAUAAAUACCUACAAACACAUAA